rnacentral:rRNA from 1 species
AUCAGCAUGCCGCGGUGAAUACGUUCCCGGGCCUUGUACACACCGCCCGUCACACCAUGGGAGCCGGUAAUACCCGAAGUCAGUAGUCCAACCACGUGAGGACGCUGCCGAAGGUAGGAUUGGCGACUGGGGUGAAGUCGUAACAAGGUAAC